rnacentral:SRP_RNA from 1 species
GCCGGGCGAGGUGGCAGGCGCCUGUAGUCCCAGCUACUUCGGAGGCUGAGGCAGGAGAAUGGCGUGAACCUGGGAGGCGGAGCUUGCAGUGAGCCGAGAUUGCACCACUGCACUCCAGCAUGGGUGAUAAAGCAAGAUGCUAUCUCAGUGGCCGGAUCUCGGCUCACUGCAAGCUCCGCCUCCCAGGUUCACGCCAUUCUCCUGCCUCAG